GACGAACGCUGGCGGCGCGCCUAACACAUGCAAGUCGAACGAGCGAGCGAGAGCUUGCUUUCUCGAGCGAGUGGCGAACGGGUGAGUAACGCGUGAGGAACCUGCCUCAAAGAGGGGUACAACAGUUGGAAACGACUUCUAAUACCGCAUAAGCCCACGACCCGGCAUCGGUUAGAGGGAAAAUGAGCAAUCCGCUUUGGGAUGGCCUCGCGUCCGAUUUGAUAUUUGGUGAGGUAACUGCCCACCAAGGCGACGAUCGGUAGACGGACAGAGAGGUAGAACGGCCACAUUGGGACUGAGAAACGGCCGAGACUACUACGGGAGGCAGCAGUGGGGAAUAUUGCAAAAUGGGGGAAACCCUGAUGGAGCGACGCCGCGUGGAGGAAGAAGGUCUUCGGAUUGUAAACUCCUGUUGUUGAGGAAGAUAAUGACGGUACUCAACAAGGAAGUGACGGCUAACUACGUG
rnacentral:rRNA from 1 species